AUUGAACGCUGGCGGCAGGCCUAACACAUGCAAGUCGAGCGGAUGAAGGGUACUUGCUCCUGGAUUCAGCGGCGGACGGGUGAGUAAGUCCUAGGAAGCUGCCUGGUAGUGGGGGAUAACGUCCGGAAACGGGCGCUAAUACCUCAUACGUCCUGAGGGAAAAAGUGGGGGAUCUUCGGACCUCACGCUAUCAGAUGAGCCUAGGUCGGAUUAGCUAGUUGGUUGGGUAAAGGCCUACCAAGGCGACGAUCCGUAACUGGUCUGAGAGGAUGAUCAGUCACACUGGAACUGAGACACGGUCCAGACUCCUACGGGAGGCAGCAGUGGGGAAUAUUGGACAAUGGGCGAAAGCCUGAUCCAGCCAUGCCGCGUGUGUGAAGAAGGUCUUCGGAUUGUAAAGCACUUUAAGUUGGGAGGAAGGGCAGUAAGUUAAUACCUUGAUGUUUUGACGUUACCAAAAGAAUAAGCACCGGCUAACUUCGUG
rnacentral:rRNA from 1 species